AGCCUGAUGCAGCGACGCCGCGUGAGGGAUGACGGCCUUCGGGUUGUAAACCUCUUUCAGUAGGGAAGAAGCGAAAGUGACGGUACCUGCAGAAGAAGCGCCGGCUAACUACGUGCCAGCAGCCGCGGUAAUACGUAGGGCGCAAGCGUUAUCCGGAAUUAUUGGGCGUAAAGAGCUCGUAGGCGGUUUGUCGCGUCUGCCGUGAAAGUCCGGGGCUCAACUCCGGAUCUGCGGUGGGUACGGGCAGACUAGAGUGAUGUAGGGGAGACUGGAAUUCCUGGUGUAGCGGUGAAAUGCGCAGAUAUCAGGAGGAACACCGAUGGCGAAGGCAGGUCUCUGGGCAUUAACUGACGCUGAGGAGCGAAAGCAUGGGGAGCGAACAGGAUUAGAUACCCUGGUAGUCCAUGCCGUAAACGUUGGGCACUAGGUGUGGGGGACAUUCCACGUUUUCCGCGCCGUAGCUAACGCAUUAAGUGCCCCGCCUGGGGAGUACGGCCGCAAG
rnacentral:rRNA from 1 species